rnacentral:rRNA from 1 species
GACGAACGCUGGCGGCGUGCUUAACACAUGCCAGUCGAACGGAAAGGCCCUGCUUUUGUGGGGUGCUCGAGUGGCGAACGGGUGAGUAACACGUGAGUAACCUGCCCUUGACUUUGGGAUAACUUCAGGAAACUGGGGCUAAUACCGGAUAGGAGCUCCUGCUGCAUGGUGGGGGUUGGAAAGUUUCGGCGGUUGGGGAUGGACUCGCGGCUUAUCAGCUUGUUGGUGGGGUAGUGGCUUACCAAGGCUUUGACGGGUAGCCGGCCUGAGAGGGUGACCGGCCACAUUGGGACUGAGAUACGGCCCAGACUCCUACGGGAGGCAGCAGUGGGGAGUAUUGCACAAUGGGCGGAAGCCUGAUGCAGCAACGCCGCGUGUGGGAUGACGGCCUUCGGGUUGUAAACCGCUUUCGCCUGUGACGAAGCGUGAGUGACGGUAAUGGGUAAAGAAGCACCGGCUAACUACGUG